ACUUUUAAGUUAAAUCAAGUAGGGUAGCAUUUUUUUCUUGAUGUUGAAAACAAGUGACAUCUUUUUUGUGCUUCCAAAUAAGAAAGCUUUUGUGAAAAGUUUGUUGUCAGUUUCUAAUCGAUCAGUACAGAAAUUCCCCUACAACUUGAAAAACUUAAGAAAAUUUUCACAAAGUGAUCUUUGGUAGUCUUCAUGAUUUCUUUAGUAAUCUAAAUUUUCAGUAUAUCAUUGCCUUAACUACAACAUGUUAUACAACCACUUAUGAUACAGUUGCAAGCUAAAGUGAGCAAAAUUCAAAAAAGUGUAUUCUUGUAGUUUCGAGAGACUGUUUAGUUUAACUUUAUGCUUUUCAUUAUAUUACAUACGACGAGACAUUUCCUUCCCAAUAUUAAUUUAACAUUUUUUCAAUUGUUUUAACGGCUUCUGAGUUGAGCUGCAGCCAGUUGGCGGAAGUUGUGAAGAAUUUAGCUGUUGCAAUCAGUUUAUGACUGAGGCAUCCCAUGCAGAAACCAGAAAUGAUAAGCAUGGCGGAGAUCUUGCCUUUCUCAACGUGCGGUGCCGUGUCAACAAGAUGUCUCUUUGAUGAGGUCUCUACUAUGUUGGAGAACAAAAAUGUGAAGAAAACAGGAAAUCUGAAAUGGUUUCCAUGGUCAGUUUGAUGUUUGAGCUGUUUAUGGUGUUGCUGUUUGGUGUGAAGUGGGUUUACAGUCAUUUUCCACCCGAGAGAUGCGCUGAAAUGGAGCUUCGUCAGACUUGCAGUUCAACAUCAUACUCAAUGUGUUAUUUCCCUAUGUUUGUGUCCGUGAGUGUUGAGGCUGUUGGGCUAAACAGUUAACCUCUUUUUUUUUGUGUUGGUGAGUGUUACGGAAGCUGCAUCAUUGUUUUGUUGAAUUGUCAUUGUGUCUGCAGUUUACCGUUUAUAUGUUAGGAAGAGAAAAAACAGAAUCUUGGGGAAUUUAUAUCAAACAAAUAAUAAACAAGGUUUCGGGAUUGGGAAAGGAAUGUGGAGGUUGUCAGGUGGGAGGGUGAUGACUUGAAUUUUCAUAUCUCAAUAUAUAAUGAGGUAUGUUAAUAUGUACUGACGCGAUACAUGUGGAUAAAAACUUAA